GGCGAGCGUAGCUCAGUUGGUUAGAGCGCUGGUCUGUGGAACCAGAAGUCGUGGGUUCAAAUCCCAUCGUUCGCCU
rnacentral:tRNA from 1 species